rnacentral:rRNA from 1 species
GACGAACGCUGGCGGCGUGCUUAACACAUGCAAGUCGAACGAAGAGCGAUGGAAGCUUGCUUCUAUCAAUCUUAGUGGCGAACGGGUGAGUAACGCGUAAUCAACCUGCCCUUCAGAGGGGGACAACAGUUGGAAACGACUGCUAAUACCGCAUACGAUCUAAUCUCGGCAUCGAGGAUAGAUGAAAGGUGGCCUCUACAUGUAAGCUAUCACUGAAGGAGGGGAUUGCGUCUGAUUAGCUAGUUGGAGGGGUAACGGCCCACCAAGGCGAUGAUCAGUAGGCGGUCUGAGAGGAUGAACGGCCACAUUGGGACUGAGACACGGCCCAGACUCCUACGGGAGGCAGCAGUGGGGAAUCUUCCGCAAUGGACGAAAGUCUGACGGAGCAAGGCCGCGUGAGUGAUGACGGCCUUCGGGUUGUAAAGCUCUGUUAAUCGGGACGAAAGGCCUUCUUGCGAAUAGUGAGAAGGAUUGACGGUACCGGAAUAGAAAGCCACGGCUAACUACGUG